rnacentral:rRNA from 1 species
CCCAAGAGAUCGGGAUAACACCUGGAAACAGAUGCUAAUACCGGAUAACAACAGAUGAUGCUUAUCAACUGUUUAAAAGAUGGUUCUGCUAUCACUCUUGGAUGGACCUGCGGUGCAUUAGCUAGUUGGUAGGGUAACGGCCUACCAAGGCGAUGAUGCAUAGCCGAGUUGAGAGACUGAUCGGCCACAUUGGGACUGAGACACGGCCCAAACUCCUACGGGAGGCAGCAGGU